rnacentral:rRNA from 1 species
UACAGAGGUCCCAAGCGUUGUUCGGAUUUACUGGGCGUAAAGGGCGCGUAGGCGGCCACCGCAAGUCGACUGUGAAAUCUCCGGGCUUAACCCGGAAAGGUCAGCCGAUACUGCGGGGCUAGAGUGCAGAAGGGGCAACUGGAAUUCUCGGUGUAGCGGUGAAAUGCGUAGAUAUCGAGAGGAACACCUGCGGCGAAGGCGGGUUGCUGGGCUGACACUGACGCUGAUGCGCGAAAGCUAGGGGAGCGAACGGG